rnacentral:rRNA from 1 species
AGUGAACGCUGGCGGUAGGCCUAACACAUGCAAGUCGAACGGCAGCACAGUAAGAGCUUGCUCUUACGGGUGGCGAGUGGCGGACGGGUGAGGAAUACAUCGGAAUCUACUUUUUCGUGGGGGAUAACGUAGGGAAACUUACGCUAAUACCGCAUACGACCUACGGGUGAAAGCAGGGGAUCUUCGGACCUUGCGCGAUUGAAUGAGCCGAUGUCGGAUUAGCUAGUUGGCGGGGUAAAGGCCCACCAAGGCGACGAUCCGUAGCUGGUCUGAGAGGAUGAUCAGCCACACUGGAACUGAGACACGGUCCAGACUCCUACGGGAGGCAGCAGUGGGGAAUAUUGGACAAUGGUCGCAAGCCUGAUCCAGCCAUACCACGUGGGUGAAGAAGGCCUUCGGGUUGUAAAGCCCUUUUGUUGGGAAAGAAAAGCAGCAGGUUAAUACCCCGCUGUUCUGACGGUACCCAAAGAAUAAGCACCGGCUAACUUCGUG